UGUCAAUUUGGCAAAGUCUUGUAUGAAU
rnacentral:sRNA from 1 species